CACACGCACGCACACACGCGCGCACAUGGCUUUUUCCGCAAGUUUUUUUCUCCGGGGGCAUGCUUGGUGAUAGAUGGAAAGGACAUAUUCCUAUCGUUAAAAGAUAUAAGUCCUGGUUAGCCCUGACCAUUAUUCGUUUCCAAUUCACGAUCGCUAAGACGCUUGCACACUCCAUCAAAGCUCCGUAAAUUAUCCCUCCAUGGGUAGAUACUCCGUCCAGCAUGUAAAUCCUGGGUAUGCCCACAGCAUUAAUGAAUAAGAUGGGUAGAAAAUGAAUCUGUUUAAGUCAUAAGUAAAGGCCUUUCAUAAAGAGGCUGUCAUGAUUGACUGUGGCCCAUAUUUAACACGUAUUGCUUGUUACCUAAGACUAUUGUUGUACAUUGAAUAUCCACUAGCAGAUUUGUGUAGCAUGCAUCUCCACUAUAUCUGUCAUGUUACUGUGGUCUUUUUAAAAGUCAAUAAACAUGUGUGUAAAAUGUA